rnacentral:rRNA from 1 species
CAGUAGCCGCGGGAAUACAGAGGGUGCGAGCGUUAAUCGGAUUUACUGGGCGUAAAGCGUGCGUAGGCGGCUUUUUAAGUCGGAUGUGAAAUCCCUGAGCUUAACUUAGGAAUUGCAUUCGAUACUGGGAAGCUAGAGUAUGGGAGAGGAUGGUAGAAUUCCAGGUGUAGCGGUGAAAUGCGUAGAGAUCUGGAGGAAUACCGAUGGCGAAGGCAGCCAUCUGGCCUAAUACUGACGCUGAGGUACGAAAGCAUGGGGAGCAAACAGGAUUAGAGACCCCUGUAGUCCAUGUCUCUUAUAC